GGACAUGGUGGCCGAGACCGGCGGGGUGGGGGACGUGUCGCGCGGCCGGGUGGCCUCGGUCGGUACCCUGGGCGCGGAGCAGCUGCCUCAUUAGUAUUCGUACCCACGAGGCGGCGCAGCGGGCCCUCGGGGACAGCGAGCGUCGCGGCCAUGGCUUAUCACUCGGGCUACGGAGCCCACGGCUCCAAGCACAGGGCCCGGGCAGCCCCGGAUCCCCCUCCCCUCUUCGAUGACACAAGCGGUGGUUAUUCCAGCCAGCCCGGGGGAUACCCAGCCACAGGAGCAGACGUGGCCUUCAGUGUCAACCACUUGCUUGGGGACCCAAUGGCCAAUGUGGCUAUGGCCUAUGGCAGCUCCAUCGCAUCCCAUGGGAAGGACAUGGUGCACAAGGAGGUGUGGCCUGCCCCCGGGGCACGGGUGGCAGAAUUUUUGGCUAGGGCUGGGGCAUCAUGGGAUUCCACCCGAUUCCUCACAGUGCCCUCAGGGAUGGAGCACACAGAGGGGCACCCUGAGGCCUGGGGUGCGGCUUGCCCACAGCUU
rnacentral:lncRNA from 1 species